UACGAAGGGGGCUAGCGUUGUUCGGAAUUACUGGGCGUAAAGCGCGUGUAGGCGGGGCUUUAAGUCAGGGGGGAAAUGCCAAGGCUCAACCUUGGAACUGCCUUUGAUACUGGAGACCUUGAGUCCGGGAGAGGUGAGUGGAAUUGCGAGUGUAGAGGUGAAAUUCGUAGAUAUUCGCAAGAACACCAGUGGCGAAGGCGGCUCACUGGCCCGGAACUGACGCUGAGACGCGAAAGCGUGGGGAGCAAACAGG
rnacentral:rRNA from 1 species